UUGCAUAUCAAAAAGCGGAGGAAAAGAAACCAACAGGGAUUGCCUUAGUAGCGGCGAGUGAAGCGGCAAAAGCUCAAAUUUGAAAUCUGGCUCUUUCAGAGUCCGAGUUGUAAUUUGAAGAAGGUAUCUUUGGGUCUGGCUCUUGUCUAUGUUUCUUGGAACAGAACGUCACAGAGGGUGAGAAUCCCGUGCGAUGAGAUGAUCCAGGCCUAUGUAAAGUUCCUUCGAAGAGUCGAGUUGUUUGGGAAUGCAGCUCUAAGUGGGUGGUAAAUUCCAUCUAAAGCUAAAUAUUGGCGAGAGACCGAUAGCGAACAAGUACAGUGAUGGAAAGAUGAAAAGAACUUUGAAAAGAGAGUGAAAAAGUACGUGAAAUUGUUGAAAGGGAAGGGCUUGAGAUCAGACUUGGUAUUUUGUAUGUUACUUCUUCGGGGGUGGCCUCUACAGUUUAUCGGGCCAGCAUCAGUUUGGGCGGUAGGAGAAUUGCGUUGGAAUGUGGCACGGCUUCGGUUGUGUGUUAUAGCCUUCGUCGAUACUGCCAGCCUAGACUGAGGACUGCGGUUUAUACCUAGGAUGUUGGCAUAAUGAUCUUAAGUCGCCCGUCUUGAACACGGACCC
rnacentral:rRNA from 1 species